rnacentral:rRNA from 1 species
ACAGCAGUAGCCACGGUAAUACGUAGGUGGCAAGCGUUAUCCGGAAUUAUUGGGCGUAAAGCGCGCGUAGGCGGUUUCUUAAGUCUGAUGUGAAAGCCCACGGCUCAACCGUGGAGGGUCAUUGGAAACUGGGAAACUUGAGUGCAGAAGAGGAAAGUGGAAUUCCAUGUGUAGCGGUGAAAUGCGCAGAGAUAUGGAGGAACACCAGUGGCGAAGGCGACUUUCUGGUCUGUAACUGACGCUGAUGUGCGAAAGCGUGGGGAUCAAACAGGAUUAGAUACCCCUGUAGUCCCUGUCUCUUAUAC